CUGAGAAUUCUUUAGUGAAGCAGUGAUAUGUAUGUUCAAUCUUUAUAAACUGUAAUGUGAUGAGGAAAAAGAUAUUCCUGUGAACACUAUCAGUCACUUUGGUAAUGUGACAAGUAUAUAAAGUCUUCUAACGUUAUAUUUUAGGGACUGCUUAUGAAAUACAGCAUUAUCCCUGACUUCAGAGAAUCACAGAAAGAUUGAGGCUAGAAGGGACCUCUGGACAUCAUCUUGUCCAAGCCUUAGCUCAAGCAUGGUUAUCAACAGCUGUUUGCCCAAGACCAUGCUGAGCUUUUGAGUAUCACCAGGGAUGGAGAUUUAUUUAUUAGAUUUUUGUGUUUAUAUUGUGAGGUCAUUAUUUUGUUCUUUUCAUUAAAAUCAGUGAGAAUUAAAGAUACAUAGCACUUAGAACUGAGGGCUUUUUUACAACAUUGUAAAUGAAAUAAAAAUAAGCACAGUGUUGGUUUAAGAUUCCUUGAUCUCAUUCACAGAGAUGUGUUUCUUUUCCCUUCUUAGAUGAAUUCUUUGUAUGAUGAACUGUGAACUACAGGUUUCUGUUUACAUUUAAGCUGUGGUUCUGGACACAUGCCUUUACAUCUAAUGUGGGUGACAAUAAUGAUUCUGCUUCUAGAUCAGAAGCACAUUCUUGGGUACAAUGGACCAACUGGUGCGCUGCCUCCUCAAGGUGUAAAAAUGCAGACCUGUUCACAACGUUUGUGUCAUAUUGAAGCUAUUGGAAUACUGUGUUUCUAA
rnacentral:lncRNA from 1 species